rnacentral:rRNA from 1 species
GACGAACGCUGGCGGCGUGCCUAAUACAUGCAAGUCGAACGCUGAAGGAGGAGCUUGCUUCUCUGGAUGAGUUGCGAACGGGUGAGUAACGCGUAGGUAACCUGCCUGGUAGCGGGGGAUAACUAUUGGAGACGAUAGCUAAUACCGCAUAAGAGUAGAUGUUGCAUGACAUUUGCUUAAAAGGUGCAAUUGCAUCACUACCAGAUGGACCUGCGUUGUAUUAGCUAGUUGGUGGGGUAACGGCUCACCAAGGCGACGAUACAUAGCCGACCUGAGAGGGUGAUCGGCCACACUGGGACUGAGACACGGCCCAGACUCCUACGGGAGGCAGCAGUAGGGAAUCUUCGGCAAUGGACGGAAGUCUGACCGAGCAACGCCGCGUGAGUGAAGAAGGUUUUCGGAUCGUAAAGCUCUGUUGUAAGAGAAGAACGAGUGUGAGAGUGGAAAGUUCACACUGUGACGGUAUCUUACCAGAAAGGGACGGCUAACUACGUG